rnacentral:rRNA from 1 species
GAGCGCAGGCGGAAGAAUAAGUCUGAUGUGAAAGCCCUCGGCUUAACCGAGGAACUGCAUCGGAAACUGUUUUUCUUGAGUGCAGAAGAGGAGAGUGGAACUCCAUGUGUAGCGGUGGAAUGCGUAGAUAUAUGGAAGAACACCAGUGGCGAAGGCGGCUCUCUGGUCUGCAACUGACGCUGAGGCUCGAAAGCAUGGGUAGCGAACAGGAUUAGAUACCCUGGUAGUCCAUGCCGUAAACGAUGAGUGCUAAGUGUUGGGAGGUUUCCGCCUCUCAGUGCUGCAGCUAACGCAUUAAGCACUCCGCCUGGGGAGUACGACCGCAAGGUUGAAACUCAAAGGAAUUGACGGGGGCCCGCACAAGCGGUGGAGCAUGUGGUUUAAUUCGAAGCAACGCGAAGAACCUUACCAGGUCUUGACAUCUAGUGCAAUCCGUAGAGAUACGGAGUUCCCUUCGGGGACACUAAGACAGGUGGUGCAUGGCUGUCGUCAGCUCGUGUCGUGAGAUGUUGGGUUAAGUCCCGCAACGAGCGCAACCCUUGUCAUUAGUUGCCAGCAUUAAGUUGGGCACUCUAAUGAGACUGCCGGUGACAAACCGGAGGAAGGUGGGGAUGACGUCAAGUCAUCAUGCCCCUUAUGACCUGGGCUACACACGUGCUACAAUGGACAGUACAACGAGGAGCAAGCCUGCGAAGGCAAGCGAAUCUCUUAAAGCUGUUCUCAGUUCGGACUGCAGUCUGCAACUCGACUGCACGAAGCUGGAAUCGCUAGUAAUCGCGGAUCAGCACGCCGCGGUGAAUACGUUCCCGGGCCUUGUACACACCGCCCGUCACACCAUGGGAGUCUGCAAUGCCCAAAGCCGGUGGCCUAACCUUCGGGAAGG